rnacentral:rRNA from 1 species
UACGUAGGUGGCAAGCGUUGUUCGGAGUUACUGGGCGUAAAGGGUGUGUAGGCGGUUCUUUUAAGUUUGGUGUGAAAUCUCCCGGCUCAACUGGGAGGGUGCGCCGAAUACUGAGGGACUAGAGUACGGGAGAGGAAAGUGGAAUUCCUGGUGUAGCGGUGAAAUGCGCAGAUAUCAGGAAGAACACCCGUGGCGAAGGCGGUUCUCUGGGACGGUACUGACGCUGAGGCGCGAAAGCGUGGGUAGCAAACAGG